CCUACGGGAGGCAGCAGUGGGGAAUAUUGGACAAUGGGCGAAAGCCUGAUCCAGCCAUGCCGCGUGUGUGAAGAAGGCCUUCGGGUUGUAAAGCACUUUCAGUGGGGAAGAAAGCCUUGGGGCUAAUACCCUCGAGGAAGGACAUCACCCACAGAAGAAGCACCGGCUAACUCCGUGCCAGCAGCCGCGGUAAUACGGAGGGUGCGAGCGUUAAUCGGAAUUACUGGGCGUAAAGCGCGCGUAGGCGGUCUGAUAAGCCGGUUGUGAAAGCCCCGGGCUCAACCUGGGAACGGCAUCCGGAACUGUCAGGCUAGAGUGCAGGAGAGGAAGGUAGAAGUCCCGGUGUAGCAGUGAAAUGCGUAGAGAUCGGGAGGAAUACCAGUGGCGAAGGCGGCCUUCUGGACUGACACUGACGCUGAGGUGCGAAAGCGUGGGUAGCAAACAGGAUUAGAUACCCCGGUAGUC
rnacentral:rRNA from 1 species